UGGGGAAUCUUGCGCAAUGGACGAAAGUCUGACGCAGCAACGCCGCGUGAGUGAAGAAGGCCUUCGGGUUGUAAAGCUCUGUCGAGCGGGACGAAAAUCCUGUGGGUGAAUAGCCCAUAGGCCUGACGGUACCGCUAGAGGAAGCACCGGCUAACUCUGUGCCAGCAGCCGCGGUAAUACAGAGGGUGCAAGCGUUGCUCGGAAUCAUUGGGCGUAAAGGGUAGGUAGGUGGUCUCAUUUGUCUGGGGUGAAAUCCUUGGGCUUAACUCAAGAAGUGCCUUAGAAACGGUGAGACUAGAGUCUUGGAGAGGGUCGUGGAAUUCCCGGUGUAGCGGUGAAAUGCGUAGAGAUCGGGAGGAACACCAGAGGCGAAAGCGGCGGCCUGGACAAGCACUGACAC
rnacentral:rRNA from 1 species